rnacentral:tRNA from 1 species
AGUCCCGGGGUGUUAUCAUAACGGAUUGCAAAUCCGGAGAAGCAGGCUAGCGCCUGCCGGGGCUU